rnacentral:sRNA from 1 species
AUAUUGCACGCCUGCGGGGGGAUGAGAAGCCCCGACCGGGGUUCGACUGCUGGCGCAGCCAGCUGGACAGAUGACUAGCCCGCGAGGAAUCUACCCGCAGGGCGAGCGAAGCGAGUCAAUCCCCCCCUCACCGCUA